rnacentral:rRNA from 1 species
AGAGUUUGAUCCUGGCUCAGAAUCAACGCUGGCGGCGUGCCUCAGACAUGCAAGUCGAACGCGAAAGUUCCCUUCGGGGAGCGAGUAGAGUGGCGCACGGGUGAGUAACACGUAGGUAAUCUACCUUUGGAUGGGGAAUAACAACCGGAAACGGUUGCUAAUACCGCAUAAUGCAGCGGCACCUAAUGGUGACAGUUGUUAAAGCGGGGGAUCGAAAGACCUCGCGUCUGAAGAGGAGCCUGCGGCAGAUUAGCUAGUUGGUAAGGUAACGGCUUACCAAGGCGAUGAUCUGUAACCGGCCUGAGAGGGCGGUCGGUCACACUGACACUGACAUACGGGUCAGACUCCUACGGGAGGCAGCAGUCGGGAAUUUUGGGCAAUGGGCGAAAGCCUGACCCAGCAACGCCGCGUGAAGGAUGAAAUCCCUCGGGAUGUAAACUUCGCAAGAACAGGAAGAAUAAGUAAGAGUGAAUAUCUCUUAUGAUGACGGUACUGUUUGUAAGCUCCGGCUAACUCCGUGCCAGCCGCCGCGGUAAUAC